rnacentral:rRNA from 1 species
GCGGGGGAUAACUAUUGGAAACGAUAGCUAAUACCGCAUAAGAGAGACUAACGCAUGUUAGUAAUUUAAAAGGGGCAAUUGCUCAACUAUGAGAUGGACCUGCGUUGUAUUAGCUAGUUGGUGAGGUAAAGGCUCACCAAGGCGACGAUACAUAGCCGACCUGAGAGGGUGAUCGGCCACACUGGGACUGAGACACGGCCCAG